rnacentral:rRNA from 1 species
GAUCCUGGCUCAGGAUGAACGCUGGCGGCGUGCUUAACACAUGCAAGUCGAGCGAAGCAAUUUAAGUGAAGUUUUCGGAUGGAUCUUAGAUUGACUGAGCGGGCGACGGGUCGAAGGUAACGCGUGGAUAACCUGCCUCACACAGGGGGAUAACAGUUAGAAAUGACUGCUAAUACCGCAUAAGCGCACGGUACCGCAUGGUACAGUGUGAAAAACUCCGGUGGUGUGAGAUGG